AACUUCAUCGCUAAGUGGCAUCUCUACAGACGACAACUGGUUGACCAUGUUUUGGAACUCACUAGUAUGCUCGGCAAUUGAAGUUUCAUUUUUUAGCUUCCUGUUGACUAAGCGCCUCAUCAAUAGGGCCUUAUUCCGAGCGGUCUUGGCCUAGUACAUGUCUUCCAACUUCUUCCAGAGGGUAUAUGCGUCUAUUUCUUGUGCAACAUGGUGGA
rnacentral:lncRNA from 1 species